rnacentral:rRNA from 1 species
GACGAACGCUGGCGGCGUGCUUAACACAUGCAAGUCGAACGGAAAGGCCCUGCUUGCAGGGUACUCGAGUGGCGAACGGGUGAGUAACACGUGGGUGAUCUGCCCUGCACUUCGGGAUAAGCCUGGGAAACUGGGUCUAAUACCGGAUAGGAGCCAUUUUUAGUGUGAUGGUUGGAAAGUUUUUUCGGUGUAGGAUGAGCUCGCGGCCUAUCAGCUUGUUGGUGGGGUAAUGGCCUACCAAGGCGGCGACGGGUAGCCGGCCUGAGAGGGUGGACGGCCACAUUGGGACUGAGAUACGGCCCAGACGCCUACGGGAGGCAGCGGUGGGGAAUAUUGCACAAUGGGCGCAAGCCUGAUGCAGCGACGCCGCGUGGGGGAUGACGGCCUUCGGGUUGGAAACUCCUUUCGCUAGGGACGAAGCUUUUUGUGACGGUACCUAGAUAAGAAGCACCGGCUAACUACGUG